UACAGAGGUGGCAAGCGUUGUUCGGAAUUACUGGGCGUAAAGGGCGCGUAGGCGGCCUUCUAAGUCAGACGUGAAAUCCCCCGGCUUAACCUGGGAACUGCGUCUGAUACUGGGAGGCUUGAGUAUGGGAGAGGGAUGUAGAAUUCCAGGUGUAGCGGUGAAAUGCGUAGAUAUCAGGAAGAACACCCGUGGCGAAGGCGGCUCUCUGGGACGGUACUGACGCUGAGACGCGAAAGCGUGGGGAGCGAACAGG
rnacentral:rRNA from 1 species